rnacentral:rRNA from 1 species
ACUCCUGCGGGAGGCAGCAGUGGGGAAUUUUGGACAAUGGGCGAAAGCCUGAUCCAGCAAUGCCGCGUGUGUGAAGAAGGCCUUCGGGUUGUAAAGCACUUUUGUCCGGAAAGAAAUCCUUGGCUCUAAUACAGUCGGGGGAUGACGGUACCGGAAGAAUAAGCACCGGCUAACUACGUGCCAGCAGCCGCGGUAAUACGUAGGGUGCGAGCGUUAAUCGGAAUUACUGGGCGUAAAGCGUGCGCAGGCGGUUUGCUAAGACCGAUGUGAAAUCCCCGGGCUCAACCUGGGAACUGCAUUGGUGACUGGCAGGCUAGAGUAUGGCAGAGGGGGGUAGAAUUCCACGUGUAGCAGUGAAAUGCGUAGAGAUGUGGAGGAAUACCGAUGGCGAAGGCAGCCCCCUGGGCCAAUACUGACGCUCAUGCACGAAAGCGUGGGGAGCAAACAGGAUUAGAUACCCUUGUAGUCCCAUGA